GUGCUCACUUCGGCAGCACAUACACUAAAAUUGGAACGAUACAGAGAAAAUUAGCAUGGCCCCUGCUCAAGGAUGACACACAAAUUCGUGGAGCAUUCCGUAUUUUUUU
ensembl:snRNA Gm23379 predicted gene, 23379